rnacentral:rRNA from 1 species
GACGUAGGGCGCGAGCGUUGUCCGGAUUUAUUGGGCGUAAAGAGCUCGUAGGCGGCUUGUCGCGUCGUCCGUGAAAACCUGCAGCUCAACUGCAGGCUUGCGGUCGAUACGGGCAGGCUAGAGUUCGGUAGGGGGAGACUGGAAUUCCUGGUGUAGCGGUGAAAUGCGCAGAUAUCAGGAGGAACACCGGUGGCGAAGGCGGGUCUCUGGACAGUUCCUGACGCUGAGGCACGAAGGCCAGGGGAGCAAACGGG